GACGAACCGAGCGAACGUUGUUCGGAAUCACUGGGCUUAAAGGGCGCGUAGGCGGGCUCUCAAGUCCGGGGUGAAAUCCUCCAGCUCAACUGGAGAACUGCCUCGGAUACUGGGGGUCUCGAGGGUGGUAGGGGUAGGGGGAACUUCCGGUGGAGCGGUGAAAUGCGUAGAGAUCGGAAAGAACACCAACGGCGAAAGCACUCUGCUGGGCCGACACUGACACUGAGAGACGAAAGCUAGGGGAGCGAACGGG
rnacentral:rRNA from 1 species